UUAUCGGAGAGUUUGAUCCUGGCUCAGGACGAACGCUGGCGGCGUGCCUAAUACAUGCAAGUCGAGCGGACAGAUGGGAGCUUGCUCCCUGAUGUUAGCGGCGGACGGGUGAGUAACACGUGGGUAACCUGCCUGUAAGACUGGGAUAACUCCGGGAAACCGGGGCUAAUACCGGAUGGUUGUUUGAACCGCAUGGUUCAAACAUAAAAGGUGGCUUCGGCUACCACUUACAGAUGGACCCGCGGCGCAUUAGCUAGUUGGUGAGGUAACGGCUCACCAAGGCAACGAUGCGUAGCCGACCUGAGAGGGUGAUCGGCCACACUGG
rnacentral:rRNA from 1 species